rnacentral:rRNA from 1 species
CUCCCAGACUCCUACGGGAGGCAGCAGUGAGGAAUAUUGGUCAAUGGGCGAGAGCCUGAACCAGCCAAGUCGCGUGAAGGAUGACGGCCCUACGGGUUGUAAACUUCUUUUGUCAGGGAGCAAUUGGGUCCACGCGUGGGCUUAGCGAGAAUACCUGAAGAAAAAGCAUCGGCUAACUCCGUGCCAGCAGCCGCGGUAAUACGGAGGAUGCGAGCGUUAUCCGGAUUUACUGGGUGUAAAGGGGGCGCAGACGGCAGCGCAAGCCAGGAGUGAAAGCCCGGGGCCCAACCCCGGGACUGCUCUUGGAACUGCGCGGCUGGAGUGCAGGAGGGGCAGGCGGAAUUCCUGGUGUAGCGGUGAAAUGCGUAGAUAUCAGGAGGAACACCGGUGGCGAAGGCGGCCUGCUGGACUGCGACUGACGUUGAGGCCCGAAAGCGUGGGGAGCAAACAGGAUUAGAUACCCCCGUA